rnacentral:miRNA from 1 species
AGUGAAGGCAACCCGAAGCCUCCAGAGCGCGGUGGGAGUUCCCACUGCGCUCUGGAGGCUUCGGGUUCCUUUCAACCU